CACGUAGGCACCAAGCGUUGUCCGGCUUUAUUGGGCGUAAAGAGCUCGUAGGCGGUUCGGUAAGUCGGGUGUGAAAACUCUGGGCUCAACCCAGAGCCGCCACCUGAUACUGCUGUGACUAGAGUGCGGUAGGGGAGCGGGGAAUUCCUGGUGUAGCGGUGAAAUGCGCAGAUAUCAGGAAGAACACCUAUGGCGAAAGCAGCUCUCUGGGACGGUACUGACGCUGAGACGCGAAAGCGUGGGGAGCGAACAGG
rnacentral:rRNA from 1 species